AUUUCCAAGUUUAUCAUCAUUCAAAGUUGUUUCUUCGUAUGUUAAAAGAUGGGAGGUAGCAUAAAUUUUCUACGGAAAACUCAGAAACACUCAAUUUACUUUAUGUUCAGUUGCACAAUGCAAAGUUGACACUUUAAUAAAUCCCAAAUAAACAUUUGUUCCAAAAUAAAAGUUCAAGAAAAAUUAUCUGACUUCAAUAUUAGAAAUCGAAAUUUUCAUAAAGAAAUCUUGUGUUUGUUUAAAUGAGUUGGUAACUUUUCUCAGGCAGCAACCAAAACCAAAACAUUUAACACAGAUUCCCUCAAUCUCAUGAUUUCUAAAGGACACAAAAA